rnacentral:rRNA from 1 species
CCUUCCGUAGGUGGACCUGCGGAAGGAUCAUUACCGAGUGAGGGCCCUCUGGGUCCAACCUCCCACCCGUGUUUAUUUACCUUAUUGCUUCGGCGGGCCCGCCUUCACUGGCCGCCGGGGGGCUCACGCCCCCGGGCCCGCGCCCGCCGAAGACACCCCGAACUCUGUCUGAAGAAUGAAGUCUGAGUGAAAAUAUAAAUUAUUUAAAACUUUCAACAACGGAUCUCUUGGUUCCGGCAUCGAUGAAGAACGCAGCGAAAUGCGAUACGUAAUGUGAAUUGCAAAUUCAGUGAAUCAUCGAGUCUUUGAACGCACAUUGCGCCCCCUGGUAUUCCGGGGGGCAUGCCUGUCCGAGCGUCAUUGCUGCCCUCAAGCCCGGCUUGUGUGUUGGGCCUCGUCCUCCGAUUCCGGGGGACGGGCCCGAAAGGCAGCGGCGGCACCGCGUCCGGUCCUCGAGCGUAUGGGGCUCUGUCACCCGCUCUGUAGGCCCGGCCGGCGCUUGCCGAUCAACCCAAAUUUUUAUCCAGGUUGACCUCGGAUCAGGUAGGGAUACCCGCUGAACUUAAGCAUAUCAUUAAGCGGAGGAA